CUCAACCAGAUGCUUCCGUCAACUCCACAACCAGCAGCUGUGCCUCCGCAUCCAGCUCCGCUCAGAACUGGCUGAGGGAAGCUGCGCAGUCUGGGUCUGCAGGACUGAAAGAGCGGGACCGCUGUGGUCUCAGGUUUGACCCGGUGUCUGCUUCCGGCCCUCGGAUGUUCCCGGAGCACCGAAUCGGGGUUCCUGCCCCCACGCUCACAUUCCAGUGCUCUGGCUUAGGCUUCUUGUUUCAUCCUCCUCUUAAGAGAUAGCAGCUAUUGUCCUGCGACGGGCAUUGUCCUCUGGAAUCUGAAGAUUUACAGAAAAGUUGCGAAGACAGUGCAGAGCCUGUCCAUACACCCCUCGAGCCAGUUUCCCUCACUGGGGAUACAUUUGUCACAGGAAGAUUAGCCCUGAGCUAACAUCUGCUGCCAAUCCUCCUGUUUUUGCUGAGGAAGACUGGCCCUGAGCUAACAUCCGUGCCCAUCUUCCUCUACUUUAUACGUGGGACGCCUAUCACAGCAUGGCUUGACAAGCGGUGCCAUGUCUGCACUGGGGAUCCAAACCGGCGAACCCUGGGCCACCAAAGCAGAGCACUCAAACUUAACCGCUGCACCACCAGGCCACCAGGCUGGCCCUUAUAGACAUUGACUUUUAAGCAGGAUAUUUCUCAGCUGAGAAAUUCUCUUUACCCAAAUAAUAAAGUAUAUUGUCAAAUUUUAAAAAGAAAAUAAGAAAGAUGUAUCCUUGGAAAUUA
rnacentral:lncRNA from 1 species